rnacentral:rRNA from 1 species
GACGAACGCUGGCGGCGUGCUUAACACAUGCAAGUCGAACGAUGAAGAAGAGCUUGCUCUUCGGAUUAGUGGCGAACGGGUGAGUAACACGUGACUAACCUGCCCCUUUCUCUGGGAUAACGCUCCGAAAGGAGUGCUAAUACCGGAUACUCACAUCGAGGCACAUGCCUUGAUGUGGAAAGUUUUUCGGAAAGGGAUGGAGUCGCGGCCUAUCAGCUUGUUGGUGAGGUAACGGCUCACCAAGGCGACGACGGGUAGCCGGACUGAGAGGGGGACCGGCCACACUGGGACUGAGACACGGCCCAGACUCCUACGGGAGGCAGCAGUGGGGAAUAUUGCACAAUGGGCGCAAGCCUGAUGCAGCGACGCCGCGUGAGGGAUGACGGCCUUCGGGUUGUAAACCUCUUUCAGCUAUGACGAAGCGCAAGUGACGGUAGUAGCAGAAGAAGGACCGGCCAACUACGUGCCAGCAGCCGCAGUAA